GACUUUUUAGUAUAAUUUUUUGUAUAUUUGUUUUCCAAAUAAAUGGUUUUGAAAGUUA
rnacentral:tRNA from 1 species